rnacentral:rRNA from 1 species
CCCUUAGAUGUUCUGGGCCGCACGCGCGCUACACUGAUGCAUUCAACGAGCCUAUCCUUGACCGACAGGUCCGGGUAAUCUUUGAAUCUGCAUCGUGACGGGGAUAGAUUAUUGCAAUUAUUAAUCUUCAACGAGGAAUGCCUAGUAGGCGCAAGUCAUCAGCUUGCGUCGAUUACGUCCCUGCCCAUUGUACACACCGCCCGUCGCUCCUACCGAUUGGGUGUGCUGGUGAAAUGUUCGGAUCGGCCGUUUGUCGCGGUUUCCGCGGCUCGUGGCUGAGAAGUUCAUUAAACCCUCCCACCUAGAGGAAGGAGAAGUCGUAACA